rnacentral:lncRNA from 1 species
GGCGACGGGUGUCAGGGCAGCUAAAUUGAGUAGUCCGGAUUAGGAACUCCACUCCAGUCGUCUUUCUAGUUCACAUGACAGAGAGAGGUCAAAACACCAACGAGGACCCCCGGGACUGGCAGGAAGAACGGAUGACGCUGCCUCCAGGAGGGCCCCCGGACUGGCGACAGCAAAACACGCCAUACAAACCAGUUCCACUUGACUGCCAAGGGAAAAACUAAUCGUUCUUCAAGCAUUUAGGGAAAGGCCAUGAUUCCCGAGGAAGAAGGGAGACGAGAAUGGCCCAAAAUGGAACCAAGUGUGCCAGAAAAGACGAGACACCUCUGGAGACUUCUGGGGAAAUUCGUGGUAAAAUGUCAGUGUUAGAAAACAGUAGCUGUCACUACCACUGUGGAAUGAAAGUGAUGAGAAACCAUUAAAACCCUCAUUUAAUCCACUGAGAAA